UCUACCUAGGUCUGUGGUUGAAAGUCGAUGCCAGUCGCAGGCAAAGCGAUCCACGUAAGGUAACAAAAAGUUACUGAUCAUGGUGCGGCUUAGAAGUGAGUCCUACCUGGAGAAUUAUACAUAAUAGUAAUUUAUCCAGAGAGGAGUAUUAGUGGGAAAAUCCUGCAAAUCUCCCAGUAGGCCGGUGUGGGGUCAAAAACCAGGUCAGCUAGGCGAA
rnacentral:ncRNA from 12 species